UACGUAGGGGGCAAGCGUUGUCCGGAAUCAUUGGGCGUAAAGCGCGUGUAGGCGGCUCGAUAAGUCUGCUGUGAAAGUCCAGGGCUCAACCCUGGGAUGCCGGUGGAUACUGUCGAGCUCGAGUCCGGAAGAGGAGUGUGGAAUUCCUGGUGUAGCGGUGAAAUGCGCAGAUAUCAGGAGGAACACCGGUGGCGAAGGCGGAUCUCUGGGCCUUACCUGACGCUCGAGGUGCGAAAGCUAGGGGAGCGAACAGG
rnacentral:rRNA from 1 species